rnacentral:rRNA from 1 species
CAUGCAAGUCGAGCGGAACGAGUUAACUGAACCUUCGGGGAACGUUAACGGCGUCGAGCGGCGGACGGGUGAGUAAUGCCUAGGAAAUUGCCCUGAUGUGGGGGAUAACCAUUGGAAACGAUGGCUAAUACCGCAUAAUGCCUUCGGGCCAAAGAGGGGGACCUUCGGGCCUCUCGCGUCAGGAUAUGCCUAGGUGGGAUUAGCUAGUUGGUGAGGUAAGGGCUCACCAAGGCGACGAUCCCUAGCUGGUCUGAGAGGAUGAUCAGCCACACUGGAACUGAGACACGGUCCAGACUCCUACGGGAGGCAGCAGUGGGGAAUAUUGCACAAUGGGCGCAAGCCUGAUGCAGCCAUGCCGCGUGUAUGAAGAAGGCCUUCGGGUUGUAAAGUACUUUCAGCAGUGAGGAAGGUGGUGUAGUUAAUAACUGCAUCAUUUGACGUUAGCUGCAGAAGAAGCACCGGCUAACUCCGUGCCAGCAGCCGCGGUAAUACGGAGGGUGCGAGCGUUAAUCGGAAUUACUGGGCGUAAAGCGCAUGCAGGUGGUUUGUUAAGUCAGAUGUGAAAGCCCGGGGCUCAACCUCGGAAUUGCAUUUGAAACUGGCAGACUAGAGUACUGUAGAGGGGGGUAGAAUUUCAGGUGUAGCGGUGAAAUGCGUAGAGAUCUGAAGGAAUACCGGUGGCGAAGGCGGCCCCCUGGACAGAUACUGACACUCAGAUGCGAAAGCGUGGGGAGCAAACAGGAUUAGAUACCCUGGUAGUCCACGCCGUAAACGAUGUCUACUUGGAGGUUGUGGCCUUGAGCCGUGGCUUUCGGAGCUAACGCGUUAAGUAGACCGCCUGGGGAGUACGGUCGCAAGAUUAAAACUCAAAUGAAUUGACGGGGGCCCGCACAAGCGGUGGAGCAUGUGGUUUAAUUCGAUGCAACGCGAAGAACCUUACCUACUCUUGACAUCCAGAGAAGCCAGUAGAGAUACAGGUGUGCCUUCGGGAACUCUGAGACAGGUGCUGCAUGGCUGUCGUCAGCUCGUGUUGUGAAAUGUUGGGUUAAGUCCCGCAACGAGCGCAACCCUUAUCCUUGUUUGCCAGCGAGUAAUGUCGGGAACUCCAGGGAGACUGCCGGUGAUAAACCGGAGGAAGGUGGGGACGACGUCAAGUCAUCAUGGCCCUUACGAGUAGGGCUACACACGUGCUACAAUGGCGCAUACAGAGGGCAGCAAGCUAGCGAUAGUGAGCGAAUCCCAAAAAGUGCGUCGUAGUCCGGAUUGGAGUCUGCAACUCGACUCCAUGAAGUCGGAAUCGCUAGUAAUCGUGGAUCAGAAUGCCACGGUGAAUACGUUCCCGGGCCUUGUACACACCGCCCGUCACACCAUGGGAGUGGGCUGCAAAAGAAGUAGGUAGUUUAACUUCGGGAGAACGCUUACC